ACAACCAGUUACAGAUUUCUUUG
rnacentral:piRNA from 2 species